rnacentral:rRNA from 1 species
AAUAGAUACCCGGGUAGUCCACGCCGUAAACGUUGGGCGCUAGAUGUGGGGACCAUUCCACGGUUUCCGUGUCGCAGCUAACGCAUUAAGCGCCCCGCCUGGGGAGUACGGCCGCAAGGCUAAAACUCAAAGGAAUUGACGGGGGCCCGCACAAGCGGCGGAGCAUGCGGAUUAAUUCGAUGCAACGCGAAGAACCUUACCAAGGCUUGACAUAUACGAGAACGCUCUAGAAAUAGAGAACUCUUUGGACACUCGUAUACAGGUGGUGCAUGGUUGUCGUCAGCUCGUGUCGUGAGAUGUUGGGUUAAGUCCCGCAACGAGCGCAACCCUCGUUCUAUGUUGCCAGCGGUUCGGCCGGGAACUCAUAGGAGACCGCCGGGGUCAACUCGGAGGAAGGUGGGGAUGACGUCAAAUCAUCAUGCCCCUUAUGUCUUGGGCUUCACGCAUGCUACAAUGGCCGGUACAAAGGGCUGCAAUACCGCAAGGUGGAGCGAAUCCCAAAAAGCCGGUCUCAGUUCGGAUUGAGGUCUGCAACUCGACCUC